AAGAAUAAAAAGAAAAAAAAAAGCUACAAUAACAGCAAUGAAAAUUACAAAUAUACCCAUUUAUACACCAUCAGGUCUGCACACCAGGCCAUGCAAGCUUCAGCUGCAUUAACCAGUUGCAUGACUCCAACAAGAGCAAAUAUCUUCAGCAAUACGGAGUUUUCAGGUAUCUUUACACAUCUUUCCAAUGAACCCUGAAGUAUGGAAGGAGGACCUUUCUUGGGCAAGAAAACUGCAUGAACAGCAAAAGGCAACACAGACUGAGGCAGUGCAAUCACAGGCCAAAGGAAAAGAGGUUGCACAAGCAUCGAUCCCAGACUAUGACUUUGAAAGUGAUGAAAUUGUGGCAGUCUGUGCUGCCAUUGCAGAGAAGGAGAAGGCUCUUUCAGAAACUAAAACUCUAGUGAUCGUGUCUGCUUCAGGCACGGUGGAGACCAUUACUGAGAAAGAGAAUUGCACUUCAACUCCUGAUGAAUCCAUUUUUAUCAGAGCCCGAUAGGGCAGCCCUAUGGAUUGUUGGUGCUGCUUCAAAUGUCAUUUAUCACAUUGGAUUUUGGUGUUUUUUUUUUUUUUAAGCAAAAAUAAAAGAUUGAAAUUAUUUUUCUUUUGUAAAGUGAAAAAAAAAAAAUGACGUGAGUUGUUUUUCAAGAGGAAAUCCAAGAUUUUAUUUUGAAAAUCUCAUUAAGAAAUGUAAUGUUAAAACACUUGACUACUUUCUCUCAUUGACCUUACUCGUUGACCUUACCAUAAUUUUACAGGUUAACGUCUACAUUUUCUGACUAAUUAAUGAACUUAUUUAAAAUGCAAAAGAAAAAGGGAGUUCAAAAUAUAUAUUUCAAUUCUUAAUCAUUAUUUAUCUUCCAGUAUGGUGAACUGUUCUCUGUUAUCAGAAGCUUUAUUUUCAUUACUUUUCCUAUGGGGUUGUUUUCUAUGAAGCAGAGAUGGACUUAAACUUUUGUGUUUGUUGUGUCUGUGAUGGAUCGGAGGUUGAUCUGUAGUCAAACAAAAUUGGUAAAGCCUUUCAUGCUGCUUUCAAAGGUGAAUGGUUAAAUACUUCAGAUGAAAGGCAGUGCUAUACUAAACAAGCACCUGGAUGCUUCAUUGUUAUUAAAUGUUUCGCUUGAAGUGUGAACAUUCAGAUGAGACUGAAACUGGGCUUUUCUUAAGUGCUAUACUACAAAUACCACUGCAAGUAAAAUGUUGGGAGCUGGAAGUAGAUAUUUAUACGUUUUAUAUAGCCUUUCCUUUCUUAGUAAGGCUGGUCUUAUAUAGGGGAUCAGUUUUCUUUUUACAGUUCUUGAAAGCUGCCAAUUAAAUUAUGGUCUCGGUUGUUCAGGGCAGCAUUGGCUGAGUCUCCAUUUUUAUUCUUCUUGGAUUUUAGAUGCUGUGGUAGAUAUUCAUAACUGAAUAAACUUACGAGAUGUGCUUGCUUAGUCUUCAGUUUUGUUUAGGGGAAGAUUGCCGCUGGUUUCUUACAUGAACCAUUUAGAGAAACAAAAUCAGGCAGUUUCUCUGAUGUACUCUUUGCUAAGACUACCUUCUUUUUUGUUGUCAGAGGAGACAGGAUAGAGAUGAGAGCCUCUAGACUGAACUGGAUAAUAGUCUACUGAAGAAUUCUCAAAAAUUCAGGGUUGGGAACAUAUUUUCAUUUAACUUCUGAAAUAUUUUGAAUGGAAAAAAAUACUUAAAAUAAUUGUGAAGCCUUUUGAAGUCUCUACAUCUUUAAUACUUGAUUUCUAUUUAAAAAUAAUAUUAUCGUUGCCCAUGAAGCAUGAUGAAUUUUGCAAUAGAAUGUUUAUUGUAGAAAAGUCACACAAUUCAGAGCAUAGUUCAGUUGAAUAUUGCUAAUUCUUAAGAGGACGGGUAAGUUUUCUGCAGAAAUUAAUUACCUUUUUAAAAGACUUAAUUUCCAUGUUCUCACAUGACUAAGCUUUCAUUAUAUUUUUGCAAAUAGAUGUUUUUUAGAUUUCUGUGCAUGCACACAAAUAAUGUGCACUUUUUCACAUUUAAAUAUCCAAAGUAAUUAUAACUACAGUGACUAUUAAAAAAAAUGUAAGACAUCACCAUACUUUGUUUUUGUUUAUUCAGUUCUGAGAUAGAUUUUUAAAUGCUCGUUGAAUAGGUAUCUGAUUCUUGUUUGAAAUGCUCUGCUGUAUAAUUUCUUCAUCUUGUUGUUUUUGUUUUGUUUUGUAACACGUAAUACAGUCUGUUCAGCAAUAGGAGGUGUUAGAAGAGUUUGACAACUGUCUUCAAGAAGAGACAUUCUUUGUUUGGAAAAGGAAGCAUGCAAAAAAGCUGUAAGACAUUUUCUGUUUUCCAUUUUGAAUUAGUUUGGCUGUCAUCAAGUAAAUCUUUCCUUUGUUUGCCUUCUGUAAUUGUAUCAGUGUUGUGUAUUUACUCAUGUGGAAAGGACUCCCGUAUUCCUUGCAGAGGUUGUUGUUAUCACUGUUUCUCCUUCCACUGAAAUGAUUUGCAAAAUUACUGUUGACUUCAGUGGUGUUGGUCAAAGUUAUGGCUGUGCACAUCUGUACCAUCAGGCUCAGCAGGUGUGUUGGGCUGGAGGUGGUGGUCUUCCCAUUCCCAGUACUAAAUGUGCUUUUUAUUCUGAUGUUACUAGGUUAUAAAUUCUAGGUAUUGUCAGUAAUAUCUUGAAACAGAUAGCAGAUAAGUUAUUGUGAACAUGUUACUCUUAAGGAGGAAGCUUCACUACUGAUACUGCAACCUCUCCUUUUUUGUACAGCAUGCCAUGUUUUGCAUGUACAGGAUUUUCUGGAUAUGUUUGAAUAAAAGAAUGACUUCUCUGCUG